AUUGAACGCUGGCGGCAUGCCUUACACAUGCAAGUCGAACGGCAGCACGGGAGCAAUCCUGGUGGCGAGUGGCGAACGGGUGAGUAAUAUAUCGGAACGUGCCCAGUCGUGGGGGAUAACGCAGCGAAAGCUGUGCUAAUACCGCAUACGAUCUACGGAUGAAAGCGGGGGAUCGCAAGACCUCGCGCGAUUGGAGCGGCCGAUAUGAGAUUAGCUAGUUUGUGGGGUAAAGGCCCACCAAGGCGACGAUCUGUAGCCGGUCUUGGAGGACGACAAGCCACACUGGAACGGAGACACGGUCCAGACGCCGACGGGAGGCAGAAGUGGGGAAUUUUGGACAAUGGGCGCAAGCCUGAUCCAGCAAUGCCGCGUGCAGGAUGAAGGCCUUCGGGUUGUAAACUGCUUUUGUACGGAACGAAACGGCCCUUUCUAAUACAGGGGGCUAAUGACGGUACCGUAAGAAUAAGCACCGGCUAACUACGUGCCAGCAGCCGCCGUAA
rnacentral:rRNA from 1 species